rnacentral:rRNA from 1 species
UACGUAGGGUGCUAGCGUUGUCCGGAUUUAUUGGGCGUAAAGCGUGCGUAGGCGGCUGUUUAAGUCUGGUGUUAAAGCUAGGGGCUCAACCCCUGUGGUGCAUCGGAUACUGGGCAGCUUGAGUGCGGUAGGGGAAGGUGGAAUUCCGAGUGUAGCGGUGAAAUGCGUAGAUAUUCGGAAGAACACCGGUGGCGAAGGCGGGUCUCUGGGCCGAUACUGACACUGAGAAGCGAAAGCGUGGGGAGCGAACAGG